UACAGAGACUGCAAGCGUUAUUCGGAUUCACUGGGCGUAAAGGGUGCGCAGGCGGCCAUGUGUGUCAGGUGUGAAAGCCCGAGGCUCAACCUCGGAAUUGCGCCUGAAACUACAUGGCUAGAGUACUGGAGAGGGUAGCGGAAUUCAUGGUGUAGCAGUGAAAUGCGUAGAUAUCAUGAGGAACACCAGAGGCGAAGGCGGCUACCUGGACAGUUACUGACGCUCAGGCACGAAAGCGUGGGGAGCAAAAGGGAUUAGAUACCCCUGUAGUCCACGCCCUAAACGGUGCACACUAGGUCUUGGCGGAUUCGACCCCCCCAGGGCCCAAGCUAACGCGUUAAGUGUGCCGCCUGAGGACUACGGCCGCAAGGCUAAA
rnacentral:rRNA from 1 species